rnacentral:rRNA from 1 species
UAGAUAAGUCUUUGGAAACUUGUUGUUAAUAUUUUUUUUUGAUUUUUUUAAGGUUUUUCUGGGGUUGAUUUUUAUUAAAAAUUUUUUGACCUAUUUUUAUUUUUAAAAGUUACUUCGGAGUUAACAGAGCGGUGGACAUUAUUAUAGUUUGUUAUAUUAUAUGCUGCGCUACAUCGAUGUUGUAUACUUGUUUUUAAAGUGAGGAGAUGAUUUUAUUUUUGAGACUGUUCUUCUUUUUAUAAAUGGGACGUGAU